rnacentral:rRNA from 1 species
UACGGAGGGUGCAAGCGUUAUCCGGAUUCACUGGGUUUAAAGGGUGCGUAGGUGGGUUGGUAAGUCAGUGGUGAAAUCCCCGAGCUUAACUUGGGAACUGCCAUUGAUACUAUCAGUCUUGAAUAUUGUGGAGGUUAGCGGAAUAUGUCAUGUAGCGGUGAAAUGCUUAGAUAUCUGGAGGAACACCGGUGGCGAAGGCGACAUCCUGGACCGGUAUUGACGCUGAGGCGCGAAAGCCAGGGGAGCAAACGGG